CGGCGCGCCGGGCUGGGGAGGGGAGGGCGCUGGGUGUGGGGCGGCUCCGGGGCCGGGGAUGGCGGCGGCCGCGGAGGCGGCGGCUCCGGGACUAGCGGGAGGACACCGGGGAGCGCCGUGAGAUGGGCCGGUUCCCAAGCCAGCCGGGAGGAGACUGCUUCUUACUACAGCAGCUCAGAAGCUCCACUGGAAGCUCAGGUAAUGUAGGCACUUUCCUUAUUGCAGAAUAACAUCUGGGAUGCAACAGUGGAAAAACACAACAGAGUGUAGUAUCAUAGAAAUGUCUUUUCAGUCCAAAGAGCUGAAGCCUGAUUGAAAGAAGUAGGUGACAAAGUUCAUGUACAUUGAAAUGUUCAGACCAAAGAGAUACUGUUUGACCAUGGACAAAAGCAUUUGUGAAAGGUGACAAUAAGAGGAGAGGGAGAGAGAGAAUUUUCUUAAGAAUCAUACAGAUCUAAGAGAGGAAUAAACAGGCAAAUUGGGAGGAGUGGGAACAGAAUUUUAGAAGGUAGUACCUGGGACUGACCUGUAGUGGAAAAGGAACCACAGAUAAAAGAAAACACAAAGGUUAAAAGAGGUGGAAUAAAGAAGCCAUAUUGAAGGUAGUCAAUAAGAAGAAAAGAAGUUCUUGCUUAGAGGGUUUUGUUGCCUCUCGGGGAGGAGGAGAAACAAGUUGUAGAGCUAAUACAGUCUCUCUCCCUAUCAGGGCCCAAGUUUGAAGGUAGUAGUAUUUUAUGAGGCAAAAAAGAUGCUAGUUUUCUUUUUUUUUUAAAGAUUUAUUUUAUUUAUUUAUCCUCCACCACCUUGCUGCUUACUUGCUGUCUACUCUCCAUGUCCAUUCGCUGC
rnacentral:lncRNA from 1 species